AUCUUCCGCAAUGGACGCAAGUCUGACGGAGCAACGCCGCGUGAGUGAUGAAGGUUUUCGGAUCGUAAAACUCCGUUGUUAGGGAAGCACAAGUACCGUUCGAAUAGGUCGGUACCUUGACGGUACCUAACCAGAAAGCCACGGCUAACUACGUCCCAGCAGCCGCGGUAAUACGGCGGUGGCAAGCGUUAUCCGGAAUUAUUGGGCGUAAAGCGCGCGCAGGCGGUUUCGUAAGUCUGAUGUGACAGCCCACGGCUCAACCGUGGAGGGUCAUUGGAAACUGGGGAACUUGAGUGCAGAAGAGGAGAGUGGAAUUCCAUGUGUAGCGGUGAAAUGCGUAGAGAUAUGGAGGAACACCAGUGGCGAAGGCGACUCUCUGGUCUGCAACUGACGCUGAGGCGCGAAAGCGCGGGGAGCAAACA
rnacentral:rRNA from 1 species